UUUGGGGGGGUGGAGGGCAAAACCUUUUUUUAAAAAAAGGUUUAAACCUAUAAAUAGAGGAACAAAAAACUUAACAAGACUGUUAAAGAAAUAUUGCUAAUACAAGACUUUGACCGUUAUGGGGAGCAACCACAUGGUAAGAAACCUUACUAUAAUUUGCGUGGGUCGUCAAGGUAUUAUACUAGCGUUAUGCUCACUUAAAAGGCAAUAUUUUUUCUUUUAAAUAGGACGAGGCCUUUUUUCUUGACAUUCCAGAUGCCGCGCUACAAGCUUUAAACUUUGAACAAGAUGGAAGUCAAAACCACCCAAUAGUUUUCCUGAAAUUACAGAAGAAGACUCAUCAAGCGUUAUUCCUCAAGAAGAAAUGUUGAAGGUGAGCGCGCUUAAAGAGGCCAAGAAAUUUCCCUUUGAGGCAGCUGCAGUUGGAAGCAAGGGUAUUAAGCACAGCGAUUUUGAACAGCCCUGCGCGUCCAAAUCUCUUAUUGCACAAAACCAGCCGGCACUAAAAAAGGCCAAAAAGUCUACCUCUAAAACAGCAUUCGUUUUCAGGGAGGGGGGGAAAGGGGCUCAGACCCCCCCCCAAGCUUUUGAACCACCCAAAGCUACCUCUACAACUUCCAGGAACCAUGGUAAGCGAGGCAGAGGAGUUAAAGCCCCUAGUUUUCAACAGACCUUUGCCUCCCCGACCCAAAACAAUUAGCUUUAAAAACAAACAACUCUGUGGAAGCAACCAUGUUUACGCGUGGUUUGAGCAGGGUGAAGAAGUUAAUCCCCCCG